rnacentral:other from 1 species
CGGUUACUGCGGCGUGCGAGAGGCGCUUUCAUCCCAGGGACCGUAUCAUCUCUCUCGGGAGCUGGCUCUGUCGCGGACCCUGGUCUGCAGCACCUGGCGCCCACCUAGUCUUGCUAGGGUUCUGAGGGGAUGAGCAAUCCUUACGGCGCAUGUGGUUCCGCC